AACGAACGCUGGCGGCAUGCCUAACACAUGCAAGUCGAACGAGACCUUCGGGUCUAGUGGCGCACGGGUGCGUAACGCGUGGGAACCUGCCCUUAGGUUCGGAAUAACUCCCCGAAAGGGGUGCUAAUACCGGAUAAUGUCUUCGGACCAAAGAUUUAUCGCCUUUGGCUGGGCCCGCGUUGGAUUAGCUAGUUGGUAGGGUAAAAGCCUACCAAGGCGACGAUCCAUAGCUGGUCUGAGAGGAUGAUCAGCCACACUGGGACUGAGACACGGCCCAGACUCCGACGGGAGGCAGCAGUGGGGAAUAUUGGACAAUGGGCGAAAGCCUGAUCCAGCAAUGCCGCGGGAGUGAUGAAGGCCUUAGGGUUGUAAAGCUCUUUUACCCGGGAUGAUAAUGACAGUACCGGGAGAAUAAGCUCCGGCUAAAUCCGG
rnacentral:rRNA from 1 species